GGCGGCAGGAGCGGGAGCACGGCAGCAGCCAUGGCCGCGGGGCCUGGCCGCCGGCUGCUCGCUGGCCGGCCUUGGGACGCGGCCUUUCUGGGAUGGCGGGGAGAGUUCAGCGCAUAUCCAAGCAGCUGGAAGAAUGUGAAGAGCACAGGAAAGGGCAGGUAACUGUGCUGGAAGAGCAUAAAGCAGCAGGUACACAACCCACAUACCCAUCAGCUGAGGUACCCUACAAACUUUGUGCAGAUUGAGGCAUUUGGAUGUAGUCCCUCUCCAACCUCAACCAUUCUGUGACCCUAUGAAGACCCACUGCCCGCUGAUGCACCUGUUGGCUGCUGGCUGCCAGCCCUGGCUCUGUGGCCAUGGUUUGGUGGCUGUGCAGGAGCUUGACUCACAGAACGUGGAAAGGAAGCAAAACUGGAGAUGAGGCACAAGGGUUGUCAGUGUCACCCUCUCCUUUAUGUGUAGCGUUAUAAAACAAACCAGCAUGGUGACUGAGGGAGCCACAGGCAAACAUUUUUGACUAUCUGCACAUGAUCAGACAGGCAGACCCGUUCUCCUGGCAUGUCUGGCACAGCCUUAAUUAAGGAAGUCAGGAGCUGGAGUUGAAACUGCGGUAUCACAUUUCACAUAAUGUGAGAAUUGAUGGUUUCCUACAGUCAGCACUGACAAAAAUCUUUCCUUCCUCCAAGUUCAAAGCAACUGUUGAACAUGCAGAUGGGUCGUAUCUACACCUUUCCCCUCGCAGCAGAAAGUGCGUUAGAUGAUUAAGAAUUUAAACUGCAUUGUGAGUAAGGAUCCCUGCAGUUUUGAGAAAUAAGGGUUUCCUUAGAAACCAGGAAAUGUAGUUUAGGAGCAGACGUUUAUGAGGGCGAAUAUGUACACCAUCAAUUAACACCUUGUUUCGUUCACAAGUUCAGUUAUAUUUACAACACUGCUAUGAAUCAGUGAAAGCAGACAGUUUUGUGUGUGCAUCAGGGCUGUGAAAGAUGUACUCUGUGCUACCAGACAAACAGGGAUUCACACCAUAUGGCUGAUUCAGGAGUUUUGACCGAUUUAGAGCAAAUGCACGGUAAUUUCCCCCUGGGCUGGUUAGAAUGAGUAUUAAUAGAGAUCAGAAAUGACAAAUAGGGGAAUGGACAGUGAUUGUUCCCAGGUUACACCCCUCUAAACCUCAUGCAAGCUUUUGAAGCUGCUUACUUGGCAAAGCCAGUGGUUUGUACCUGGCUUCUGUGGUAUUUGUGUCUGGUCACAGUAAAAUCCCACCAACUGUUCCCGGGUCAAAGUGGAGGACAGUUGGCUGCAGUGUGAUGUCCAGAGUUGCUCGUAGGCUGAACGUGCUCAAAAAGCAGCCAGGCAGGCCACAAGGAGACUGCGGAAGCUGAGCUCAGCACAGACAACCAACCUGUGGUGUUGGUUUCCCUGGAGCCAGUUCUGUGUCCAUCCUGGUGCUGGGGCACCCUCACAUCGUACGUCCACACCCUGAGAUGUGGCCAUUACAAAUAGCGCUGCAGUGCAGCUGGCAAGCAGAAGAGUAAACGGUUGUGGACCCAGCUGGCAUAAAAUUAACCCUGGUUUUAUCUUGCUUUCACUGAAGGAGAUUUAUUCUCCUCCUUUGCAAGAAGAUAAUUUAGAAGAUAGUUUAUAAUUGCCUGCGAGAGUCUCCUCAAUUCAAUUUCUGAUCAGCUUGUGUAGUGGAAAUAAUGAAUAAUGGGUUUUGAGCCCAAACUUGAAUUCCAUAUUUGGUACUAAAGCAGGUGCUUUGUGUGCCCCUGUGCUGACCUGCAGCUGCUGCGAUCAGAGCGCAGCACCCUCUGCCUGCAGGAGCACCACCAAGGCAGGCUGAUCCCUGAAGGACAGGCUCCAUUUGCAGCUGGAGGAUGGUGGGAGCUGAAAUUUUUCAUCCAGUGGCUUGUUUCGGGACAGCUUCACGAUCCAAAUGCAACUUUAAUUUUUGCAACACUAUUGAAGUCAGAGAGGACUGGAAAGACAACCACAGCCUGGAAACGGUCUCCCUUCUUCUGGAGAUUCACUGUCUCGUCUACAACCACUUGAGCAGAAGAAGCAGAAGUCCUGCACAGGCUGCUCUGUUUUGGGCACAAAAUCUUCUGGCUGAUGGUAGUAAAAUCAGUUUUGAAGUAAAAAAUAUAGUUAUGGAAGUAAUGCCUAAUGCAGGUAAUUACAAAGAGUUCAAGCUAAGGUUUUUCAAACAGUCUCUGCUGUCACAUAGCCUAUGUUUUAGGGUUUGAUUUCCCCACCUGUGCAAUAUUCUCACUCAGUGGUUGUGUAACAAGUAGACUGUCUAUCCAUUAAUGGAAAAUGAAAACACAACACACCUAAGACCCAUGUCAUAAGAAAAAAUGCCUGCACCAGCUCUAGACUAGGCUUAUAUAUGUCUUAACAUACAGGAAAGAAAAAAAAAGCAUGACUGGGCCAUUGUUUCAUCUGAAGUAUUGCAAAGUUUUUCCCAAGGAAUAAAAGCGUGUGAAGGACCCCCAUCCUGAAUGGGAUUUUUGCAACUUUUGACCCACUGCAAACAUGAGACCUCAGUCUGUGAAAAUACGGUAGGCUUAAAAAUCCAAUCAGCCUAUGGCAGUCAGGCGAGCCAAAGGAGUGGCUUUCCAUCUCCCUUUCCAUCAGGGAGGCUGGUGGUCACCUCGUGAAUGCUUCUACUGGCACAUGUGCUUGCGUGUGUGCUGUCUGCUCAGCCCUGCUCCCAGCACCUCUUGGCAGAGCCACGACAAAAAUAAAUGGAGGUGUGAAAGCCAUAUUUACACAGCCUUAAACAUACUCUGUGCAGAAGAUUUAAGGGCUUGCUGAGAGAUGGUGUGACAAGCUUCAGCAGGGAGCACGUCCUGCAGAGCCCUGAUGUCUCAUUCAGGUCAUGCCUCUCCUAUGACCUCUCCAAAGAGAAGUCUUCCUAAGGGAAGAGAUGUAGCGUGUUGUUUGGAUGUUUGAAAACAGAUAUAUAUAUAUUUGUGGGAAAAAUCCAGUGUUAAUGAAGUUUGAUCCCUAAUCUCAAUAGAGCAGGAGCAUUGCUCUCCCAGAAAUGUUCUUAACUGUUCAAAAAGUCAUUCUAAUCUCCCAGUUAGCAAAUAAAUCGUAUAUGAAAAGAAACAAACACUGUAAGCUGGGAUCCUACAAAGAAGUUACUUUAAAAAAGAAGUUGAUUUCACAUCAUUUGUCAAAAAAAAAGAAGCAAGGGUAGAAGUAUUACAUUAAGUUUUCAUUGUUUGCCAUUUAAAUAACAUCUUAGUUUGACGUACCUUUGGACAUCAGUCUUACUCUUUAUAGACUUAAUAUUAAAGCUGGAAAAACAUGAAGCUGCAAGAAAUCUUUGUGGCAAUGUACAUUCUGACUGAGAUAAGCCUGUUUUCACAUUCACAUGAUACUGACAAAACUGGAGUAACUUGUUGAUAUAUUUUGAGGACUGUCAGCCUAUUUUUCCUUCAGGAUGACUUUGGAAUUUUACGGUGAAGAGUGGCAUAAAGCAGAUAUCGAGCCAAAAGCUUGUCUUUAAUGAACAGUACUUACUACAUAAAGAAAUCAGCAUCCAUACCGCAUCUCCUUUCAAGAAAUCCCUUUUUGAUUCUAUUCUGAGUCACUGAUGGAGAACACGGGGUAUGAAUGGCAAUAAACGUCGUGAUAUAAAAUAAUAAAUACAUUUUCACUGUAAAAUAUUAUUUAGCUAGGUCUUGGAUGGUGAAUAAAAUAUUCAUGCAUCAAGGCAGUCAAAAUCUUCAUGCUCCUGCUUUGCAUGUGCAAGGGAUGAAGGACUCCUGCUGUUACCAGACAGUAAGAAAGGGGUAUGGGCCAUUCGUGCUACUAGCACAGGUAGUGUGUCAGCACUAGCUAUUACACUGGAGCAAAUGAGGUGGGAUUCAACUGUCCGAAUGUGACUUGCAGCCAGAGGUGUGUGAGAGCUCUGGCCACAGCUGCACGAGGCUGUUUUUCUCAAAAGCCAGUUCUGAUCCUCAGAGGAUGCAGUUCCUAUGAGACUGCAGUCCCUGGAGAGAUGAAGGCAACAGUGACAGAGAGGUCUGGCUGCUCCCCAUUGCAUGCUGGAGUUACAGCCCUUCCAGCUCCGGCUCUUCUUCCCUGGCCUUAUUGUACAGCAAAAUAAUUCAGCAGAAAUAAAAGUAAAAUGCUUGAACCAGGUGAAAUUUAAAGAGUUUAAAUUGUGAUUUGUGAAGCAAAACUGCUGAAUGAGUAAAAGAAAAAGAAGCAUGAAAGAUCUCAUAUUAGUUUUUCCAUUUCAGAAGACUUGCCUGUAGAGUGACCCUCCCUGCAUUCUUCGGGCUUUAAUUAAUUAAAAGCAGGGAGAAAGUUAGGAUUUUGGUUCAGGUUAAAUAUUCCAGACUUGAACUGAAGAUGUUGCUUUAAUGACCUGGACACUAUCCAGGAAGUAUGCAAAGGCUAGCAGGCACUUCUGACAGCUAAUAUAUCUGAUAAAAAAGAGCAUUCUGGCCAAUUAAAGAACUGGGGUAGAAAUAAUGGUUUGUCACCAAGUGUGUAGCUGAGGCCAAUUGGUCCAGAUUAACCAAUGGGUUCUCCUUUGUAAGUGAAUUUAAAGGUCACAGUGAGCUGUCUUGGUGGGUAAAAGAUAAAAAUGUUAAAUUAAUAUGGUGGCAAAAAAUUUUCAAAUGUGAGACAUGGAAAUAAAAAUUAGAUUUACAAAUCAUGCAGAAUCACCUGGAGUGGACUAAGCAAAUUGCUCUUAAGGCAGAAGGUCAUGAAGAAAAAAAGUGUGAAUAAAAGUAUGAGUUCCAUCCCCUGUAGAAAGCAGAGGUUUCUUUAAAUAUACACAGGUAAAUGUUCUCCUGAAGGGCUUCAGUAUAAACUAACAAUGGGGAGCAUAUGCAUCUGUACUCUUGCAUGGAGUGAGGGGGGACUGUUUGGGGCUAUCUAGUUUCCAUUUUCUACAGUACAGUGCAUUAUUAUAUUAUUAAUAGCUGACCUACACAACCCUACUUCAUCAUGAGGGGACCAUCUCUGUUCUCACUGCACGUUUUAGUAUUUUCAUUUUAGUU